rnacentral:lncRNA from 1 species
GGCAAUUAGAAAGUGUUACACGUUUAUAUGAUUCUUUUUCAUUUCUUGCUUAGAUUUUCUCUUUUCUCAAAAUAAAAUCAAUAUCAAAAUGAAGUAAUAAAAUAAAAUGGCUUUUUUGUUGAGCUGGAUUUUUCUUGAUUAGAUAGGCUACUAAAGUGAAAUAGAAUGAGAGAUGCGUACCUUCUUUUUUCUUAUUCAGAUGGGUUACUGUAACAAAGUAGAGUGGGACAUAGAUAGAUGUUUUAUUAAAAUGACAUAUGCUUAUAUUGCCUGUUUUCUUUCUUAUAUAAUUGAAUAAAAUAGAACAUAGUACACUUAGAUGAGUUUUUUUUUCUUUCUUUCUUAGAUGGGUGAAUAAUCUCAUAUUCUUGGGAUACUAAGUAGUAUAUAUAACUAAUUCCAUAGUCUUUUGUACUUGUCUUGUUAGUUUAUACCUGAUUCAAUAAUGUUUCAUACUUAUAAGUAAUGGAGUCAUACAUUAUUCUUAUCUACUUAAUGCAUUAAGCUUCACUAUAGUUCAGUUUCGACAUAAAACUACCC